rnacentral:rRNA from 1 species
AUACGGAGGACGCGAGCGUUAUCCGGAUUCAUUGGGUUUAAAGGGUGCGCAGGCGGCCGUGCAAGUCAGCGGUGAAAGCCCGGGGCUCAACCCCGGAAGUGCCGUUGAUACUGCAUGGCUGGAAUGCGGUCGAGGCGGGCGGAACGUCGCGUGGAGCGGUGAAAAGCGUAGAGAAGCCACAGAACGCCGAUAAUGGAGGCAGCUCGCCAGGCCUGCAGUGACGCUCGGGCACGAAAGCGUGGGGAUCGAACAGGAUUAGAUACCCUGGUAGUCCACGCCGUAAACGAUGGGAGCUCGUCGUCGGCGGCAGACAGUCGGCGGCCAAGCGAAAGCGAUAAGCGCCCCACCUGGGGAGUACAGUCGCAAGGCUGAAACUCAAAGGAAUUGGCGGG